rnacentral:rRNA from 1 species
CAACCUGCCGCUUACUCGGGGAUAGCCUUUCGAAAGAAAGAUUAAUACCCGAUGGUAUAAAGAGUUCGCAUGUUCUCUUUAUUAAAGAAUUUCGGUAAGCGAUGGGGAUGCGUUCCAUUAGAUUGUUGGCGGGGUAACGGCCCACCAAGUCUACGAUGGAUAGGGGUUCUGAGAGGAAGGUCCCCCACAUUGGAACUGAGACACGGUCCAAACUCCUACGGGAGGCAGCAGUGAGGAAUAUUGGUCAAUGGACGAGAGUCUGAACCAGCCAAGUAGCGUGAAGGAUGACUGCCCUAUGGGUUGUAAACUUCUUUUAUAAGGGAAUAAAGUGAGGGACGUGUCCCUUUUUGUAUGUACCUUAUGAAUAAGGAUCGGCUAACUCCGUGCCAGCAGCCGCGGUAAUACGGAGGAUCCAAGCGUUAUCCGGAUUUAUUGGGUUUAAAGGGUGCGUAGGUUGACAUAUAAGUCAGCUGUGAAAGUUUACGGCUCAACCGUGAAAUUGCAGUUGAUACUGUAUGUCUUGAGUGUACAAGAGGUGGGCGGAAUUCGUGGUGUAGCGGUGAAAUGCUUAGAUAUCACGAAGAACUCCGAUUG